rnacentral:rRNA from 1 species
UACGUAGGCAGCAAGCGUUGUUCGGAGUUACUGGGCGUAAAGGGUGCGUAGGCGGUCCUAUAAGUAUGGUGUGAAAUCUCCCGGCUUAACUGGGAGGGUGCGCUAUAGACUGUGGGACUAGAGUGUGGGAGAGGAAAGUGGAAUUCCUGGUGUAGCGGUGAAAUGCGUAGAUAUCAGGAGGAACACCUGUGGCGAAAGCGGCGCACUGGACCACAACUGACGCUGAGGCGCGAAAGCUAGGGGAGCAAACAGG